CCUCCUCAGGUGGUUGUGAGCUCUGUGGAUGUUUUCCGGCCUUCUAACCCUCUGGAGCUGGCCAAGAGCUUUGUAGGAGCCAAAGAGCUGGGCAAGAUGCUGGUGGACUUUUGUAGAGAUUCUGAUGGCUGUGCAGUUGACAGAGCAAGAGCCUGGUGUGAAAUGAUCGACACCAUCUACCACAGAUUGAGCCCCCAGCUGAUGAAGUAAGUGACGCAGUCCUGGUGGACAUGCUGUGGGAAACCCAAAUGUACCUUUAUGAGAAGAGAGAAGUCCUCCAAUCCCUGGCAAAAGUGCUAAUGGACAACUGAAAGCACACGAAAAUCAUGAGGAAAGGCUAUGAAGAUGGGGCUAUAAGAGCAGAAAGGAAUGUGAAAGCAAAAUGGAGAAAAGGAGAGCAAAGGAGAGUCUUUUGAGUGGAGUCAAAGACAAGAGUGAUUGGAUGACGCACAAAGAUUAGUGAGACAUGUGUUCGAAUCGAAACUAUGAUGUCUAUGUCGGUGUGCUCUUUCUUUAAGACAAACCCCUUGAGCCGAUGUGAUCACAGUGACUUUCAUAUUUACACUCAAAUGUCAGUACACGAUAGCAAAUGUAUAAAACAUGGCAGAGACUGAAAUCUAACAGGAAAACAACUGACAGGAUGUCGCCUAUUGGAAGACAAGUUAUGUAGCAUCUUAUGACCUUAUCACUGAGCUUAUCAAGUUUACCGUGUUUGUAUAUAAACCAUUGAAAUAGAGUGUGGAGUUUCCCUUCUUUGGUAUGUGAAUACAGGGGAACUGUAGGAGGAAGUGGUUCCAACUAAAUCAUACUAAGAUCAGUAUACACUGUGACUGUGAUAGUGUCAGUUUACUGUCACCCUCCCCCCUCUAUAGUGUUGCGUGAGAAGUUUUUGAAUCCAGUUCUCAUUGGUUGUGAUAAAACCAUAACGCCCUUCGUCAUCCUUCAUUUUGUUGUUCCUCUUUUUUUUUUUUUUUUACCCAAGUAGCUGCAAAGACAAUGUACAGACAUAUUACUUAAGGCAUAUCAGAAGGACCCUGUAGUAGCGCAACAAAAUCUGCAAUAUACUGUAACACAGCUUGGACGAUGGUGAUGAUGAACCAGAUCUGCCUUAUGUGUCUGGGGCCCAAAUUUGUACUGUUUUCUUUCAUUCUCUCCAUAUCAAACUGUCAUGCCUUUUUAUAGGUUAUUUAGACUGACUUUAAACAUAACCUCACUCCCAUUGCUAACUUGCUUGCACACUGUACACUUGUUACAACCUUUCAUAAAGGUAUCUUGAACAAAUAUUUAACAUGUACUUGUACAACUGGAAUUAUACACUUGAAUUAUAAACUUACUUGAAAGACAAAGAAACAAUACUGCACUGGUGUUUGUACAACCUAAACUAGAAGUAACAAAUUAUUUACAU